GCCCUAGUAACGGCGAGUGAAGCGGCAACAGCUCAAAUUUGAAAUCUGGCUUCGGCCCGAGUUGUAAUUUGUAGAGGAAACUUUUGGUGAGGCACCUUCUGAGUCCCUUGGAACAGGGCGCCAUAGAGGGUGAGAGCCCCGUAUAGUCGGAUGCCGAUCCAAUGUAAAGUUCCUUCGACGAGUCGAGUAGUUUGGGAAUGCUGCUCAAAAUGGGAGGUAAAUUUCUUCUAAAGCUAAAUAUAGGCCAGAGACCGAUAGCGCACAAGUAGAGUGAUCGAAAGAUGAAAAGCACUUUGAAAAGAGGGUUAAAUAGCACGUGAAAUUGUUGAAAGGGAAGCGUUUGUGACCAGACUUGCGCCGUUCCGAUCAUCCGGUGUUCUCACCGGUGCACUCGGGGCGGCUCAGGCCAGCAUCGGUUUUGGUGGGGGGAUAAAGGUCCAGGGAACGUAGCUCCUCCGGGAGUGUUAUAGCCCUGGGCGUAAUGCCCUCGCUGGGACCGAGGUUCGCGCAUCUGCAAGGAUGCUGGCGUAAUGGUCAUCAACGACCCGUCUUGAAACACGGACCAAGGAGUCAAGGUUUUGCGCGAGUGUUUGGGUG
rnacentral:rRNA from 1 species